UCUGAUGGAGGUUACCGAGGCAGCGAAUUACUGACCUAAGAUUCUAACUCCAAUCUUCUGAUUCCAAAGCCUUUGUUACUUGCUCCACCCCACAACUGCCUCACAAGCAUCCCAGAGUCCAGUCAGCAGACAGCAGAAGAGACUGUCAGCAGACCACCUUGGAGGGGAUGCUUGGAGCUGCCUAACGUGUGAUUCAAAGAUGAAUUCCAUGUGUUUGGAGAAGAAGCCCUAGCCUCAACACAAAGGUUGGCCACAUUCCAGCCAAGGUAGCACGGAGUGAAGGCCCGUGGAGGGAGAGCUGGGCUUUUCUGAACUACUUCAGUACACCUUGCUGUGCCUUGGCCUGCCGUGUUUCAUCCCCAUGGCUGUCCUCAGUGAUGUGCAUGGUCACUGCUCCCUUCACCACUGAGAAGACGGGCACAGGACAGUCAGGGGAUGUGUCCAAGGUCCCACAGCAGGAAGGGCUGGAGCCAGAAUGUGGUCUGAGAGGCUGGAUAUACAAAGAGACAAUGGCAUGACCAUCUGUACAAAUGGAACUAUGGCCCACAACCUGCAGCAGCCAGCCCAGGAAGCCAACCCGUCACCUGCAGCAGCCAGGAUGGAUGCUGGCCUGCCCUCAGUUGUACUCACAUCAUUGGUCUUAUGGGGAAAUUUUAAGACCUCCCACUUGUAAGGUUUUAUAGCCCUCUAUGGAAUAUUGAAGAAAGAGUAAAAUGCAUCCAAAAAAAAAAAAAAACACUAAACUGGAUAAAUUCUAAGGCCUCUUCAGGUCUUAAGAUGGCCAUUUUCUAGGUCCUCUUGCUGCAGCAGUGAAAUCCACAAACACGGACAAGUCAGUCAGUUACGUGCCUUUCAGAGAAAACUUCUGACUUAGGAAUUCCAGCUAUUUGGCCCAACCCAUAUUAGAUUGUGUUAUAAAGACAUGGUAAAUUACAUCACGAAGGGAAGAGCAGAGGAAACAUAAUAUUCCUUCAAGACCCAUCAGCUCAGAUGUUAGCAGAACACCCCUAAGGAGGAAAACAAGAAAUUUUGGGUUUGAACUUGGUACUUCCCAGCAGCCCUGGGAGUGGGGUCAGAAGCCCUGCUGGGGGCCAAAGAACUCUGAGGAUCAAAGAUGUUGAGCAUCACCUUAGAGGCCAAAGAUCAGAACAGUGGAGGUGGCCUUUGAAGCCCAACCUGUCUUUCACCAGAGAGUGAGAACGGCCUCUAUUUCCAGGAAGCUCACUGCAGCAAUAAUCAUGAUGCUCUGAGCCUGACAAGGUGAGAAUUUACUUUCAGCACCUGCAAUAGUUUCCUAUUAAAGUUACAUAUGAAACCCUGCCGUCUUGUACCAACUAAUGUUCACACCAGCGUUCCUAUUUUCAAGAUAAAUUGCAAAAUAAAAACUCUUGUUUUCGUUAGCAAAAGAAAACUUCUUUAGGAGGAUAAAAGGGAGAUGAAGAAACAGAAAACACAUCAGCUCUCCAUCCAGAUUACAGAAAGCAGAAAACAUCCUGAAGUGAAUAACAUAGGAAUCGCUCUUUUUCCCCCCUGAGAUAGCAGGUUACUUAUGAGAAACAAGCUUGAAAUCUCUGCACCUGGACCAGCUUCCAGAGGCUUUUGUCCUGACCAGCUGGCUUUGGGGAAGUAAAGGAAACCAGAGAAGAAGAGGCUGAAAGAAUUGGUUUCCACCGUGACCUUUGAACCCUCGGGCGAGUUGUCAGCCUCACUGAGGAUGAGUGUACUCCAUAUCAAGUGAGGUCACUUUACUCGCAAGCUUGUUGUGAGGACUGAAUGAAACCUUUUCUUUUUUCUUGGAGUUUCAGAGCAACGUCCCUGAGCCCAGCCCCACACUGGCUUGAGCCCUGUCGUCGGUCAAGACACGGUGCUUUCUCCCCUCCCCUCUGCACUCCAGCUUACUCUGCAGUCAGGAGGUGGCACCACGAUCCCCUUUAAGACUUUGCCACUUGGGCCAGCUGCGCCCCUGUGAAAUUCCCUGUUUCUAUUGCAGGCCACAAGGACGAGCUGAGAAAUGGCUUCCAGUCACCAUCUAGAUUAGAAAGCCUAUAUUUCAAAUAUAGAUAUAUCAAUUAUGCCUGUAAAAAGACAUUAAAUCCCACAGGGCUGUAAUUCCUAGACUCUACGAAUUUCAUCUUGCACCAAAUUUUAUUAUUUCAUUUAUAAUUCGGAUUCUUCAAAUCUAAGAGUGCCUGGCUCAAAAUUAAAAUACCUACAACUAUGCCAAAACUGGACUCUUUAAUUGCCUUACUGGAACCAGUAGCUGAUUCAAAGCAAAACGAAACAAAAUUCCUCCUUUCUCUGAUUUAGUGAAUCAAUGAUCUAACUGAACUCAUUUUUGGACUGAGUUUGCGGCACUUGCAGCCCUGAGGGACACAUUCCCCCACCACACUGAGCCUGCACUCCCAUCAAUGCAAAUGAACAUUUUGCUUAUUCAGAUUGGGGGGGUGAAGGAAGUCACAAAAGGGUUAAUACAUAUGGCAUUUCAUUGUAAUAUGUACUCACUACUAACUAAAUUAAAAGAGAUGUGAGUUAUUAAAAACUCCAUCUUAAGAAAGUAACAGAAAUCAGAGUUCAGAUUCGUUGUUACUGAGUUUCCAACCAACACCUGUGAGUUAAACCUACGGCCACCCUGAAAACGGUUCAUAUUUUCAAAAGCUUCAUCGAAGAUGAGCUGCACUAAAGAUUCAUAUUACAUAUCAUGCUGCAAUAAGAAAAUCAAAUAAGGCCUUUCCAUAUUCAAUAAUAAAGUUUAAAGAAAAGUAAUAUUUGUUUAGCCAGUUAGCCAGAAAUUAGAUGUAUCAGAAUACAUCAUUCUUUGAGCAUUUUAGAAAAAUCAGGGUAUUUCUACAUUGUGUUUUUCUUUGUAAGCCCUCAAAAAAUAUAGAGAAUAUUCUUGAAAUUAUAGUGUUUGUCUUCUGGAACAAAAAAUACUAAUCAAGGAAAUCUACAAAUUUAAUGGUUUAUUGAGUUUCCACAGGAAACACUGUGUGAGGAGGCUGAGGCUUAGAAGUUCAAAAACUAAAAGGAUUGUUAUGAUUUCGAUAAUAAUAUCUUAUGUCUGCACAACAUCUGAACUCAGUUCUUUCCUGAGGUUCUCUCAUUCUUCAAGCAGCCUCUGAGGUAGGCAGGAGCGAUAAUAUCGGUUCCAUUUUACAGUUAGGAAAACAGAGGCUCACAGAGUCCCAAGGCUUAGCGGGAACGUCCGCCCUGCUCUCUGGGUUCUGAAGAACACAGUCGUGAAGGAUGUAAGCCAUUUCACAUUUUAAGACGAAACAGAUAACUUGUGCUAAAUGCAUGUCCCAGCCCUGCCCUGAGGGCAGGUGGGCACCCGGUGGCCUGCAGGGCUGACAAUUGUGAGAGGGAAGCAAGCUGGGGAGGCUCCCUGGAGAGCUGGUGCAGAGCCUGGAGGACAAGGAAGAUGUGGGGCACGCGGAGAAGGAGACAAGGAAGUCGAAGCGGAUCUUAUGCACGAAAUCAUCAAGUGGAAAUAUGAAAAGUAGUGUAAAAUACACCCACUCACAGGGAUUUUAAAGAUAUGCCUACCAACAAGAGCAAACAUUUACAAGAAACCCCAAGAUGAUUUGGAGAGGGAAACGUGCUGGGCUGGGAAGGAAAGAGGUUGGAGGCUGCAGCCCAGCUUUGAGGCUAUGAUGGUCCAGUCGC
rnacentral:lncRNA from 1 species